rnacentral:lncRNA from 1 species
UGUAUGUAUUUACUAAAAGAGAGGGUGAGUUUUUCUCUUUAAGAUUGACUGAUACUGAUGGAGACCCCCAGGGUUUGAAGCAUCAGCUUGUAAGGCGGAAAGCCACACGUUAGAUCUGAGGGUGAAGGAACUUUUCUAGUAGAUGCCUGCAAGACCACUGCCCAAGUUUGGGGUUGAGAAUUAAGACUGGCAGCAUGCCAUGAGAUCUUCCACAAGACACAGCUCCUGCCACUUUCCUCACAGCCAACCUGCCCCCGACGCUGGCCAAAUCGCAGGUGAGCAGUGUGCGUAAGAAUCUGAAGCUGCACCUGUUGAGUGUGCUGAAGCACCCGGCUUCCUUGGAGUUCCAGGCCCAGAUCACCACCCUGCUGGUGGACCUGGGCACACCUCAGGCCGAGAUCGCCCGCAACAUGCCGAGCAGCAAGGACACCCGCAAGCGGCCCCGCGAUGACUCGGACUCCACACUCAAGAAGAUGAAGCUGGAGCCCAACCUGGGGGAGGACGAUGAGGACAAAGACUUGGAGCCAGGCCCGUCGGGGACCUC